rnacentral:lncRNA from 1 species
CCGGAACUCCCCAUCGAGCCCGUGACAACCGUCGCGAAGCCUCGACAAACAUUCUUCACCCCGAAUGUCGAUCGAAACCUCGCAAGGCUCUCGUAUCAGCUUUCGCACUUCCCCGGUGAGCAAUAGUUAUCAAAUAAUCAAAAUACGAAGGAUUACAAAUCAUUUCCAAAUCAUAACAUAACAUUUUUUUUUUUUUUUCUCACAGGGGCAUUUUCGUCAUUUUUAUCGAAAACCUCGAAACUUGCUAAAAAUGUAGUAGGUAAGCCGAAAAUAUAUAUUUAAUGAUUAAAAAAAAUUAAGUAUCUAAAACGUUCAUUUGAAGUGAAAAUUUGACCAUUUGAAUAUGAUAAAAAUAUUCAAUAAAAU